CAGCAAUGGUAAGAGUUCUUGUCCCGGUCCUUUGUGUGCUUCCCUGCUGGCUCCUGGCUCCGAGUGCGGCUUCUGAUCCUGAUUGUGACCCCAGUCUGUCCGGACUCUGGCUACAAAUCCAGUUCUGCUGCCAGACCCGACACCACCCAGACUUUGGAGUGGAAGAAGCAGAGAGCCUUGCAUCAUGGAACACCCUUAGCUGGUUUAUUAAACAGAGGCGUGCAGAGAAAUCAUAUUUUAAAGGGUAAAGCCAGGGAGGCAGACUGAGAGACAAGUAUUCAACCUUAAAUCUGCUUUCCUUGACUUUUGAACUGCUUUGUUUCCUCAACUUUAAUGUUGCAUAAACAGGUGUGUUUGCAUGUCACACAUGCACACAUAAGCAUUAUGGCCUUAUCUCUGAUUUCCUCCCACAUGGAAAACUUUCCUAGACUUUGAUGGAGACUUUGCCUGACACAGAUAGGAGGCUCAGGUCCAGUCUGAAGACUGCUGGCCCUUGCACGUUUUGUUUGGCUUGUCCUUAGCCAUGAGGUUCUCUCUCUUUCUCCUAUCCUCCCUGUGUUGACACUAUGCCUAAAAUUUUGCCCUGUACACUUAGCAAGCUACACAAUGUAUCAAUCUAAGCAAAAUACUGCAAUUCCAUACAGAGACAUUGGUGCUUGUAAAACCUCCCCCAUGCCCAGAGGUCAGACAUUGAUCACUAGGUCACAAUUACAUCUGAUGAUGCACCCCAGGAUCACUCUUUCUCCCAACAUUUUUAUUUCCUUUCCUUGCUUUUUCCCUUUCUUACUCUUGAUUUUCACACCAGUUAUGAAUUUAAACCUUGGAAGUACUUCCCAGCUAUGUACCCUGUAAUCUUGUAACGUAUAUUGUAUUUACCCUGCUGGAUGACAAUAUAAAACUUAAUUUUGUAAGCUUCAUUACUGAAAGUAUCAUAAAAAUUUACUCACCGGAAUUGACCUGGAUAUUGUGGUACUAUCUGAGGGUUGCAGCUGGUCAGGAUUCUUUAUACCUCCUGAGCUCUUAUUUUCUAAUA